CAGCGCGGAGGAAUGGGGAUCUAAAAAUUCUGCACCAGGUUCGUCUCGUCUAUCUAGAAGCACGCUGGUCUGCAGAAACGGACGACGUAGAAAGAAACACAUCAUCCAUCACGCAACCAUUACAAUGACAAGGCGUGGACUAAAACAGUCCACUGACCAUGCAUUCGUCUCCCUGAUGAGUCAUCAUACGCACGCCGUGGCUGUUCUAGAAUGCAGACGCCGAAGGAGAACAGUGGCCAGAUUUGUCCUUCUCCCAAUACCAGAGGGUUGGUGUUAGGUAAUCGCAUCAGGUGCCCACGGUAAGCAGAGGAAAAGGUUGAAAUCCCACUAUAUCAAGUGUUUGUUUCAGGCUGCAGCAUACGCAGAAACAGAGCGAGGAGAAGGGAGCGAAAGAGGUUUUCAUGGGUGUAGAAAGGUUUCGGUUUGUGGUCGUGCUCAUGUUCUUGGUUUCCUUCCAUGUCCAUGUCUCCAGAAGCACAGAGGCCAGACCACUUCUCAUCGCCAAGGAGAACAGGUAUGUCCAGGUGUUGCAGUCACUUGGAAUCACAUGCCGCUGCUGCGAUGGCGUGGGAGGUGAAUGCCGGAGGAGUUGGGCGUACCCCUGUGCUAAGCUGGAGUGCCACCCUUGCAAGUUCUCGUGAGUUUUGCCUGGGAGCGAGUUCGGUUAUGUAUGUGUAGGAGCUGGUAGUCUUGUAAAUUGUUUCGAGGACUCAAAAUAUAGCAUUGGAAAUACUUCUUUUA